GCCAUCGGCCAUAGUACGUUGAACUCGCCGGUUAUUUUCUGAUCACCGAAGCUUAACAACGCUAGGCCCGGGGAGUACUUGGAAGGGGGACCGCGUGCGUACACAAGGUGUUGAUGGCA
rnacentral:rRNA from 1 species